AGCCCAUGCAUCGUACAUUGAAUUAAAUCUUUAAAUCAUUCCCAUGCUUCAUGUAAUGUUUCAUCCUCUAAUUGACGUAAAGAUGGGAUGUCAUUUCUAAGCUU
rfam:Gossypium raimondii Chr12_contig_437, whole genome shotgun sequence.